UUCAUUUUGAUCAUAUACAUUGCAUCCAUCUCUUACAUUUAGGAUUCUUUGCAUUUCAUUACAUAAUUUCAUUACAUAAUUUCAUCAUUUCUUUCUUACACCCCAUUUACCUCAAAAUACACAUUACAUCCUUUUCUUUACAUUACUAGUCAUCAAAUACAAAAGAUGAACAUAAGGUAGCUACUAUCAAAAUGUAACCCAACAUUGGUGGCCUCUGACUAAGGUGCGAUACCUUUACCUCGGUCGCUCGCCGGCUCGCUCGGUCCCGGCUCUGUAGAAAUAGUGGGGUGAGAACUACAACAAAGUUCCCAGUGGGUUCGGCCUCAACAUCACCGACUUUCCCACUAGGACUAACUCAGGCAUAAUAGAAGAAAUAGGCUGUAAAUAGU
rnacentral:lncRNA from 1 species